rnacentral:lncRNA from 1 species
AUUUUUUUUAGUUUGAAAUUAACUUUUUUUAUAUUUAUUGUUUUGAUAUGCGAAUAUUUUUAAAACUAAUCUUCCCUGUACUCCCAAAUGCCCUAAUUGAGAGAGAGAAAACGAAGUAAUUCCAUGCUUGGAUGAAUUUGGGAGCUCAUUUGUGACCAACCAAGAUCAAUUGGCAUGUUGCUUGCAUCCAUUUGUUUUGUUGUUGUUCUUGAGCUGACGAGAAGGCCACCUAAAGCCCUAUUGGGUUUACUUCAAAAUUAUUUUUCUUGGAAUAACAUAGCCAAAUUCUUGAUUUUGCACCAGGCUCUUGCUUGAGUAUUUUGGGGUUUCCUAAAUUUGAUCUGCUACCGCCACGAAGUGUGCCAAGUUCUUGAUUAAGCACCAUGCUUUUGCCUGAAAUAGUUUGCCAGCAAUAUCAAAAGACAUGAGACUAGUCUGCAGACAGCAAUGGAACAAGCUGAACAAAUUUUUUUUUUUUUUUUAGUUUAACGUGGGUGUCCGGGCCAGCUUGCGCGCAUCUCGACUAAUACCACGGACCCUGAAGUUAACGAUCAUGUAAGCCUCCAGUGGCCAUCAUAUGAGUAACCACAUGGCUCGAAUCUGAGACCAAAGAGAGAGCAAAUCUCUUAUUUUCAAGCUUUUACCACUGGGCCACCACCUAGAUGGUCAAGCUGAACAAAAUUUAGUGGAACAAGAAUGUGAUCAAUGGCCCAAAUGGCAAGGCAGCAAGAAAAUGAAAUUAAGAGGGGCUAAAUUAGAAAAAAAACUAUUACAGGGGAGCUAAAAUUUCUUUCUUUCUAUUUUCUAGGCUAAAACUAUAAAUACCGUUAGUGGCUUGAAAAAAUAAUUUCCUUGAAGAUCCCGGGAUCUCUACCAGCCUCCUUGUCUCCGCCGCUGCCAAAUGGCCUAGUGGUGUCUCAUGCUUCCAAAAGAAAGGUAAAAAAUUAAAGCAACUUUUUUGAAUUUGAACCCAUGAUAAUGGGGACGGAUGAGUUGUAUAUUUUCAAUGGUCAAAAAGAGAGAAAGAAAGGAAGUGGUGGAAUAAGUUUAUGCAUCCUUGGAAAAUGGAUAUUCUUGAUUCCACUAAUCUUGUAUGAUUACGCAAUCUAAAUACCAUAAUUAAUUCCAAAGCUAGUUGCUAAAGGGUUUGUAUUAUCUAGGAAAUAUUUGUUUUCUUGUUUCAAUCUUUGUUUUACAAUG